rnacentral:ncRNA from 1 species
AGACGAGGACGACCUCUCUCAUCCAGAACACACCGACCGGGACGGCCCGG